GUGCUCACUUGGGCAGCGCAUAUACUAAAAUUGGAACAAUAUAGAGAUUAACAUGGCCCCUGUGUGAGAAUGACGUAUAAAUUUGUGAGGUGUUCGAUAUACAG
ensembl:snRNA U6 U6 spliceosomal RNA